rnacentral:rRNA from 1 species
UACGGGGGGGGGCGAGCGUUGUUCGGAAUUACUGGGCGUAAAGGGCGCGUAGGCGGCGUGGUAAGUCACUUGUGAAAUCUCUGAGCUUAACUCAGAACGGCCAAGUGAUACUGCUGUGCUAGAGUGCAGAAGGGGCAAUCGGAAUUCUCGGUGUAGCGGUGAAAUGCGUAGAUAUCGAGAGGAACACCUGAGGUGAAGACGGGUUGCUGGGCCGACACUGACGCUGACAGCGCGAAAGCCAGGGGAGCAAACGGG